GAUGAACGCUGGCGGCGUGCCUAAUACAUGCAAGUCGAGCGAACGGACGCGGAGCUUGCUCUUCUGAUGUUAGCGGCGGACGGGUGAGUAACACGUGGGUAACCUACCUAUCAGACUGGGAUAACUUCGGGAAACCGGAGCUAAUACCGGAUAAUAUUUUGAACCGCAUGGUUCAAAGGUGAAAGACGGUCUUGCUUUCACUUAUAGGUGGAUCCGCGCUGCAUUAGCUAGUUGGUAAGGUAACGGCUUACCAAGGCAACGAUGCAUAGCCGACCUGAGAGGGUGAUCGGCCACACUGGAACUGAGACACGGUCCAGACUCCUACGGGAGGCAGCAGUAGGGAAUCUUCCGCAAUGGGCGAAAGCCUGACGGAGCAACGCCGCGUGAGUGAUGAAGGUCUUCGGAUCGUAAAACUCUGUUAUUAGGGAAGAACAAAUGUGUAAGUAACUGUGCACGUCUUGACGGUACCUAAUCAGAAAGCCACGGCUAACUACGUG
rnacentral:rRNA from 1 species